AAGUUAUGCUGCAGCCUCAUCACUGGAAACAGAAAAGGAGCAGCAGAGCUAUGAAGACAUUCUCCUGAAGCACACAGAAAAGGAAUGAGUGAUGAACCUUUUCUGCUACAGCAGUGGCUACACAGAAGAUGUUCAUACUAACCUUUCUCAAAAGGCACAGAUCGAUAUGGACUGUCAAAGCCUGUUGGGAAGGAAUUGUGUAACAGACUGACUGGAGCCCAGCGGCUGCACUUGGUGUUUCACUGCCUCAGAGCUCACAGUUUCCUGGCCCCUUACAGACCCACAUCAAUAAGCUGGAGAUAGAAGUCUGUUUCCUGUUACUAAACCACUGAGCCAGCUAGUCACUUGGCCUUACUUGGAUUUGCACCAGUGGUGUAGAAAUAAAAUGUUCUGAAUUCUAUUAAUGAUUCAUUAAGCCAACUAUUUAAUGAGUUCAGCUGGAUCUGUACCAAUGGCACACACUUGAAGAGUUGUGUCCCACUGCUGAUUUAGCUAGCCAACCAAUUUAAAAUAGAACAGAGGUAAGAAAUUGAAUUCAAGGAGGCACUGCAAUAAAAUAUCAGAGCUGUGUGACAACAAAAUGAUAGAAAUUACAUUGACUAGCUAUUCUAAAUAUGAACUGCCUCUGACAACUUUCAAUGAGGUUUUAGGUCAUCCUUGACCACACUAACCCACAGAACAAGCUGGCAUCUCCCUGUAACUGUACUGGUCUCUUCUUUUUUGCCAUCAAGGUUUCUACAGGUAAAUAACAAGGUGCUUCCUGUGUACUCAAACUGCUUCACCCAAAUGAGUAUUUAAAAUCUGCCAUUCUUCAGUGCUCUUAUAAAAACAAGAAAGCCUCCUGCGUCAGCCAGUGGACUAAGACUACAUGAAACAGGCAUGGCUGGAAGAGGCAUCUUGAGAGGACAGUGCUUUGUUAAUGGGUAGAUGUUAAUAAUUAACAGCUGGCAGAGAAAGUAAUGUGAACAAAUUCCUGAGAGGUUACUGAACUCUUCAGCACUGCCACAACCAUUGGUGACUAUCAGUUGUGUAUUGACUUUGAUUGACGAAAUCUUGUUUUCCUCUGGUCAUUCCACAUGAACUUUGGUAAGGACUGCCACUGUGUUGGCUAGAACAUCUUGUUGUAGCAAAAGUUGUCUUCCUCACACACUUCUUGUUUCCUUACUCUGUCCAAAACUUGACUGCAGGACCAUCAUAUGCUUUACAACCUUCCCUUGAGCUAUUGUGGAUUUACCAUUACAUUAACCGUCCAUUUACAAGGCCUUUCAUACAAUGUUAAUAAAAAGUCUCCUAUUGAUUUCAGCUUCUUCUUUACCCAGGCUUUUUAAAAUGUGUAAAAUUCUUCUAUUUUAUGGCACUAAUGCAAUCUUCUACUAUAUUUCUAUAUUAAAAAUCCCACACAAA